UCGAGUUAGGGCCUUCUCAGGCCCGACCUCCCACCCUGUGUUUACUGAACCUAUGUUGCUUCGGCGGGCCCGUCUCACGACCGCCGGAGGACCGUAAGACGUCCUCUGGCCCGCGCCCGUCGGUGGCCAAACUUGACAAACUCUGAUUGAAUCGUGUCACUGUCUGAGUACCAUUCUUAAUUAAAACA
rnacentral:misc_RNA from 1 species